CGUGUAGGCGGUUCUGAUUAGUCUGAUGUGAAAGCCCUGGGCUCAACCCAGGAAGUGCAUUGGAUACUGUCAGACUUGAAUACGGGAGAGGGUAGUGGAAUUCCUAGUGUAGGAGUGAAAUCCGUAGAUAUUAGGAGGAACACCGGUGGCGAAGGCGGCUACCUGGACCGAUAUUGACGCUGAGACGCGAAAGCGUGGUAGCAAACAGGAUUAGAUACCCUGGUAGUCCACGCCGUAAACGAUGAGUACUAGGUGUUGCGGGUAUUGACCCCUGCAGUGCCGCAGCUAACGCAUUAAGUACUCCGCCUGGGAAGUACGGUCGCAAGACUAAA
rnacentral:rRNA from 1 species